UAAUAUGUAUGGCGCUGACUUCUUUUUCGU
rnacentral:piRNA from 1 species